rnacentral:rRNA from 1 species
AGGCUUUGAUCCUGGCUCAGGAUGAACGCUGGCGGUCUGCUUAACACAUGCAAGUCGAACGGGGUUCUUCGGAACCUAGUGGCGGACGGGUGAGUAACGCGUGAGAAUCUGCCCUUAGGAGGGGGAUAACGACUGGAAACGGUCGCUAAUACCCCAUAUGCCGAGAGGUGAAACGGUGAAUUCCGCCUGAGGAUGAGCUCGCGUCUGAUUAGCUAGUUGGUGGGGUAAGAGCCUACCAAGGCGACGAUCAGUAGCUGGUCUGAGAGGAUGACCAGCCACACUGGGACUGAGACACGGCCCAGACUCCUACGGGAGGCAGCAGUGGGGAAUUUUCCGCAAUGGGCGCAAGCCUGACGGAGCAAGACCGCGUGGGGGAAGACGGUUUGUGGAUUGUAAACCCCUUUUGACCGGGAAGAAGCUGACGGUACCGUUCGAAUCAGCCUCGGCUA